UACGUAGGCAGCGAGCGUUGUUCGGAGUUACUGGGCGUAAAGAGUGCGUAGGCGGUUUUCUAAGUUUGGUGUGAAAUCUCCCGGCUUAACUGGGAGGGUGCGCCGAAGACUGGAAGGCUUGAGUAUGGGAGAGGUAGGCGGAAUUCCUGGUGUAGCGGUGAAAUGCGUAGAUAUCAGGAGGAACACCUGUGGUGUAGACAGCUUACUGGACCAUUUCUGGCGCUGAGACACGAAAGCGUGGGUAGCAAACAGG
rnacentral:rRNA from 1 species